UACAGAGGGUGCGAGCGUUAAUCGGAAUUACUGGGCGUAAAGCGCACGUAGGCGGCUUUGCAAGUCAGAUGUGAAAUCCCCGGGCUUAACCUGGGAACUGCAUUUGAGACUGCAUUGCUAGAGUAUGGGAGAGGGAAGUGGAAUUUCAGGUGUAGCGGUGAAAUGCGUAGAUAUCUGAAGGAACAUCAGUGGCGAAAGCGACUUCCUGGACCAAUACUGACGCUCAUGUGCGAAAGCGUGGGGAGCAAACAGG
rnacentral:rRNA from 1 species